UACAGAGGUCCCAAGCGUUGUUCGGAUUCAUUGGGCGUAAAGGGUGCGUAGGCGGCGCGGUAAGUCGGGUGUGAAAUCUCGGGGCUUAACUCCGAAACUGCAUUCGAUACUGCCGUGCUUGAGGACUGGAGAGGAGACUGGAAUUUACGGUGUAGCGGUGAAAUGCGUAGAUAUGCGGAGGAACACCGAUGGCGAAGGCAGCCCCCUGGGAUGAUACUGACGCUCAUGCACGAAAGCGUGGGGAGCAAACAGG
rnacentral:rRNA from 1 species